rnacentral:lncRNA from 1 species
GGGUUUCUCAUUUCUUAUCCGCCUCCAUCUACACUCUCCUUCUCUGGCGAUUCAAGAACUGCGUGAUUCCUCUUUAGAUCUGUGUUUGUUUCUUCUUUAGAUCUAUGAUUCCUCUUCAGAUCUGCGCAAUUAGCCAGCUUCACACCCACCUUGUAGCCAUGAUUUCUGGUAGAUCUGAGCCACAUCAUUUUGCUGUACUUUUUAAGUCUUCCUCUUUCCUGAAGCCAUCUUCAUCACUAUAGAUGAUGAAAUAUAUCCAGUUUUGACGUAAAAUAAGAAAAUAUGUGGGGGAUUUUGUGGUAAAAAGCCGGAGGAGUUACCGGAUUAUCCUCUCAGGUUUGGAGAAUCAGAUGUUAAGGUUAAGGCAUGUAGCAUCAGCUAUGAGAAGUUUUGCAGUACUUUUCGAGUCUUGGCUUUCCUGAAGCCAUCUUCAUCACUGUCGACGAUGAAAUAUCUCCGUUUGUAACAUUGGCUGAAUACACAACUUUAUCUUCAUCACUAUCGACGCUGAAAUAUCUCUGUUUGUAACAUUGGCUGAGUACACAACUUUAGAGGAUUUUGUACAGGCUAUUACUCUUCCUCUUGCAAUCGAGACUUCUUGUGAAGGUCUAGAAUGGGCUAGCUUUGGUGAGUGUGACAGGUAUCACCUAUAGGGAAUGGGCACCUGGAGCAUAGUCUGCUUCGCUUAUUGGAGAUUUCAAUAGCUGGAAUCCAAAUGCUGAUGUUAUGACCAAGUGAAAAAUGGAUCCUAUCGCAUUGACAUAUGGCUGCUGUAUUGGGUCGCCAGUUUCAACUUCGUAGAAGGUUCAGGUCAGUUGGGGUUAUGCUUGUUUGCAGUCCACAGGUGGCAGUUGGCCUAGCAAUGGCUGAAACUAAGGUUCAAGGCCCAGCGUUUGAUUUGCAGAUUAAAGAUAGCCAGGUACUCUCCCGUGGGACGAUCAUUCUAUUCUCCUGAUCUGGGUCGUAGACAACCACUCGAUGAGGGGUUGGACGAUCAUGAUCUGUUAAAAGUUUUGCCUGAUUGAUUUCUUUGCUUGAUUUGCACAUUUGGGGUGUUGCGACUGGUGGACUAAAAGAUCGAAGCGCGUUCGCACAUUAGAGUUGGACUGGAUUCGUAAGUCCAAGAGUGUUAUUGUCCAUGAGCUAGAUGGGCAUAACCGAUUGCUUGUCAAGGUAAAAUGGGUCGGACAAAGGUCAUAAAAUAGGUGACAUUGGUGUUAACGCCGCAGCCAGCGCAGCCGCAACAACUUUAUACGGCAUUUGGUCAAGAAAUAAGCAUGAUCUGAUAUAAGCAUAAAAGAGUCAGGCGACGUCUUACAAGUGAUGUUCUUUGCAAGAAAUAGUCGGUUAGAAGACACGCGAGCCAACGUUUUGCAGAAAAGCAGCUUGACUAUAAGAAAGGACAUCUGGAGAAUUUUGGCUGCCAUGACGUCACCUGGAGAAUUUUGAUUGCAGUGUGAAGGCAUUGUCCAAGAUCUUGAUGAUAGGCUUCAGGAGCUUCCCAUGCGUAUUCUGAAGCAACUUCACAAGUUCAACGGGCAAGAUCCGCCACUGGUCAUAUAGGAAGCAUCAACAACAGAUUCAAAGAGGGGAUUUUUCCGGUUGUUUGAGUCCAACUGCACUGGAAUCAGCUGAACCGUUUGUUCAUAUACCUUUUGGUGCUAGAAAACUAGAGGAACGGGAAUUACACCAAGCGAUCGAACUCCAAGACAGACGAUUAAUGAAUCUGCAGUUGGCUGAUGCAAAACACCGUCUGAUACCAUUUGCUAAAAUGAAUUUAUAGGUUUAAUUUAGAUUAAUAUUUUUUUGAAUAAUGAAUACAAAAUUUAAAUAAUUCUAGAAGUUAAAAGUCUAUUAUUAACUUUUGUAACUUAAUAGUGUUUGUAGUUUUUAUAAAUCAUAACCUGAAUGGAAUACUAAUACG